AACGAACGUUGGCGGCGUGGAUUAGGCAUGCAAGUCGGGGGAAUCCCAGCAAAUGGGGGGAACCGGCGUAAAGGGGCAGUAAGGCAUGGGUACCUACCCUGAAGUUCGGGAUAGCCAUCAGAGAUGGUGGGUAAUACCGGAUGAUGUCGAGAGACCAAAAGAUUUAUCGCUUUGGGAGGGGCCCAUGUGAUAUUAGCUAGUUGGUGAGGU
rnacentral:rRNA from 1 species